rnacentral:rRNA from 1 species
AUGAACGCUGGCGGCGUGCCUAAUACAUGCAAGUCGAGCGAACGGACGAGAAGCUUGCUUCUCUGAUGUUAGCGGCGGACGGGUGAGUAACACGUGGAUAACCUACCUAUAAGACUGUGAUAACUUCGGGAAACCGGAGCUUAUACCGGAUAAUAUUUUGAACCGCAUUGUUCAAAAGUGAAAGACGGUCUUGCUGUCACUUAUAGAUGGAUCCGCGCUGCAUUAGCUAGUUGGUAAGGUAACGGCUUACCAAGGCAACGAUGCAUAGCCGACCUGAGAGGGUGAUCGGCCACACUGGAACUGAGACACGGUCCAGACUCCUACGGGAGGCAGCGGUAGGGAAUAUUCCGCAAAGGGCGAAAGCCUGACGGAGCAACGCCGCGUGAGUGAUGAAGGUCUUCGGAUCGUAAAACUCUGUUAUUAGGGAAGAACAUAUGUGUAAGUAACUGUGCACAUCUUGACGGUACCUAAUCAGAAAGCCACGGCUAACUACGUG